rnacentral:rRNA from 1 species
AUUGAACGCUGGCGGCAUGCCUUACACAUGCAAGUCGAACGGCAGCACGGGUGCUUGCACCUGGUGGCGAGUGGCGAACGGGUGAGUAAUACAUCGGAACGUACCUUAUCGUGGGGGAUGACGCAGCGAAAGUUGCGCUAAUACCGCAUACGCCGUGAAGGGGAAAGCGGGGGACCGUAAGGCCGCGCGCGAUUGGAGCGGCCGUUGUCUGAUUAGCUUGUUGGUGAGGUAAAAGCUCACCAAGGCGAUGAUCAGUAGCUGGUCUGAGAGGACGAUCAGCCACACUGGGACUGAGACACGGCCCAGACUCCUACGGGAGGCAGCAGUGGGGAAUUUUGGACAAUGGGGGCAACCCUGAUCCAGCAAUGCCGCGUGAGUGAAGAAGGCCUUCGGGUUGUAAAGCUCUUUUGUCAGGGAAGAAACAGCAGCUCUAACACAGUCUGCGAAUGACGGUACCUGAAGAAUAAGCACCGGCUAACUACGUGCCAGCCGCCGCAGUAA